UACGAGGGGUGCAAGCGUUAUUCGGAAUCAUUGGGCGUACAGGGUGCGUAGACGGCAUGUUAAGUCAACUGUUAAAUUCCCCGGCCUAACUGGGGGCAUGCAGUAGAUACUGGCAAGCUCGAGGAUGGAAGAGAGAAGUGGAAUUCUCGGAGUAGCGGUAAAAUGCGUAGAUCUCGAGAGGAACACCGAUGGCGAAGGCAGCUUCUUGGUCCAUACCUGACGUUGAGGCACGAAAGCGUGGGGAGCAAACAGG
rnacentral:rRNA from 1 species